rnacentral:rRNA from 1 species
GACGAACGCUGGCGGCGUGCCUAAUACAUGCAAGUCGAACGCUUUUUCUUUCACCGGAGCUUGCUCCACCGAAAGAAAAAGAGCGGCGAACGGGUGAGUAACACGUGGGUAACCUGCCCAUCAGAAGGGGAUAACACUUGGAAACAGGUGCUACUACCGUAUAACACUAUUUUCCGCAUGGAAGAAAGUUGAAAGGCGCUUUUGCGUCACUGAUGGAUGGACCCGCGGUGCAUUAGCUAGUUGGUGAGGUAACGGCCCACCAAGGCAACGAUGCAUAGCCGACCUGAGAGGGUGAUCGGCCACACUGGGACUGAGACACGGCCCAGACUCCUACGGGAGGCAGCAGUAGGGAAUCUUCGGCGAUGGACGAAAGUCUGACCGAGCAACGCCGCGUGAGUGAAGAAGGUUUUCGGAUCGUAAAACUCUGUUGUUAGAGAAGAAUAAGGAUGAGAGUAAAACGUUCAUCCCUUGACGGUAUCUAACCAGAAAGCCACGGCUAACUACGUGCCAGCCGCCGCAGUAA